rnacentral:pre_miRNA from 1 species
UGGUGAAUUACUGGGCAUUUACUCCAUUGGCAGGAGGCUUAUGACCACAAUUUCACUGAGAGUGAAGGUAAUAUAAGCUCACUGCCAGAGGAGAUUUGCCCGGCAAUUUAUCG